rnacentral:rRNA from 1 species
ACUCGAGUGGCGAACGGGUGAGUAACACGUGAGUGAUCUGCCCUCAACUUCGGGAUAAGCCUGGGAAACUGGGUCUAAUACUGGAUAGGACCAUCCUUUAGUGUGUGAUGGUGGAAAGUUUUUUCGGUUGGGGAUGAGCUCGCGGCCUAUCAGCUUGUUGGUGGGGUAAUGGCCUACCAAGGCGUCGACGGGUAGCCGGCCUGAGAGGGUGUACGGCCACAUUGGGACUGAGACACGGCCCAGACUCCUACGGGAGGCAGCAUG